rnacentral:rRNA from 1 species
UACGUAGGGGGCAAGCGUUGUCCGGAUUUAUUGGGCGUAAAGAGCGUGUAGGCGGUUAGGUAGGUCCGUUGUGAAAACUCGAGGCUCAACCUCGAGACGCCGAUGGAAACCAUCUGACUAGAGUCCGGAAGAGGCGAGUGGAAUUCCCGGUGUAGCGGUGAAAUGCGCAGAUAUCGGGAGGAACACCAAUUGCGAAGGCAGCUCGCUGGGACGUAACUGACGCUGAGACGCGAAAGCGUGGGGAGCAAACAGG